rnacentral:rRNA from 1 species
GUGGGGAAUAUUGGACAAUGGGCGCAAGCCUGAUCCAGCCAUGCCGCGUGAGUGAUGAAGGCCUUAGGGUUGUAAAGCUCUUUCAGUGGGGACGAUAAUGACGGUACCCACAGAAGAAGCCCCGGCUAACUUCGUGCCAGCAGCCGCGGUAAUACGAAGGGGGCUAGCGUUGUUCGGAAUUACUGGGCGUAAAGCGCACGUAGGCGGACAUUUAAGUCAGGGGUGAAAUCCCGGAGCUCAACUCCGGAACUGCCUUUGAUACUGGGUGUCUGGAGUAUGGAAGAGGUGAGUGGAAUUCCGAGUGUAGAGGUGAAAUUCGUAGAUAUUCGGAGGAACACCAGUGGCGAAGGCGGCUCACUGGUCCAUUACUGACGCUGAGGUGCGAAAGCGUGGGGAGCAAACAGGAUUAGAAACCUUGUAGUCC